GAGAGAUGGCUCAGUGGUUAAGAGCACUGGCUGCUCCUCCAGAGGUCCUGGGUUUGAUUCCCAGCACUCG
rnacentral:tRNA from 1 species